GAUGAAGAACGCAGUGAAAUGCGAUAAGUAAUGUGAAUUGCAGAAUUCAGUGAAUCAUUGAAUCUUUGAACGCACAUUGCGCCCGCCAGUAUUCUGGCGGGCAUGCCUGUUCGAGCGUCAUUACAACCCUCAGGCCCCCGGGCCUGGCGUUGGGGAUCGGCGGAGCCCCCCGUGGGCACACGCCGUCCCCCAAAUACAGUGGCGGUCCCGCCGCAGCUUCCAUCGCGUAGUAGCUAACACCUCGCGACUGGAGAGCGGCGCGGCCACGCCGUAAAACACCCAACUCUUCUGAAGUUGACCUCGAAUCAGGUAGGAAUACCCGCUGAACUUAAGCAUAUCAAUAAGCGGAGGA
rnacentral:misc_RNA from 1 species